GUCCUAAGGUGCCAAGCAGGAUGAUGCAUCUAACUAGAUGCUGAAGACAGGCCAAGGUUCCAUGCAGGAGGUUCAUAUGUCCGAAGGCAGAUGAAGAGCUAAAUCGAAGCCCAUGCUGCCGCUCAAGGUGCUUCCUGUUCAGCGUGUCAUGCCCGUCUCAAAUAAAUUUGCUGGUGGUCCAGUAUUAGUAGUCUUCUUCUUUAAGUUCUCAUUUUCUCUUCGGUAAUAAGGAUUUCCUUUGCUGAGGGAACCAUCGUUUACUUAUCUAGGUGUGUUGCUUUGUUCUUCUGAAUGCAGCUACUUAUUUCAAUGCAAUGAACUAUCGUUCUUGGUGAUUCAUUUGCAUCCUUUACUGGGCUUUGUUCUCUGGUGCCAGCAAGAUCGAUCUUAUUAUUGUUUAUUUGAGGAAAAUGCUAUAGAUAUUUGUUCAUUUCACAAGCAAAACAGGAGAUAUAAUGACUCCAUGGAGUAGUCAACACAAUGAGAAGUAGUACUAUCAAUAAUUCUGAGGUUGCUCUAUCAUCAGUGCCCAGUGACAAUACAUGUCGGCAGGAAUCUUUCGAAGAGAUGCUCAGAUGAAUCAACAUCAUUCCCCGAAGUGAUGAUGCAAGUAAAACUCGGAAUCUUUUUGCCACUUGUUAAGAAGAACAUGGUCACCAAAAGCAAUAAAGAUAUCGAUACUGUUAUCGGUCGUCUCAAGAACUCCAGCCAUUGGAAAAAGGUUCAGUAGUUUUAAUUUGAUUUCAUUUUUUUGAUGGCUUAGGAU